GACCUGGUGGUGCACGGUGCACACCCACUCAAGUUAGAGGGUUGUCGGAGUUCAAGUGGGAGGUCCCUGUUCGAUUCGGGGUCGGGUCA